rnacentral:sRNA from 1 species
CGGGAAGUACAUGCAGAGCACCACAGUGGAGCAGUCCCACACCAAGUGGGUGCGCUAUAAUGGCCCGGUACCCAAGCCGCGGCCUGGAGCGUGCAUCGACAGCGAGGCACGGGCCGCCAACUAUACCAGCUCCUUGAAUUUGCCAGACAAGACGCUGCAGUUCGUUAAAGACCACCCUUUGAUGGAUGACUCGGUAACCCCAAUAGACAACAGGCCCAGGUUAAUCAAGAAAGAUGUGAACUACACCCAGAUCGUGGUGGACCAGACCCAGGCCCUGGAUGGGACUGUCUAUGACGUUAUGUUUGUCAGCACAGGUGGGUUCCAAGGGCUUGGCAGGCUUGACAGUGACAGUACAUCUGUGUCCUUUGGUAGGAAAACUGGGAAAUCCAAUUAUUCUUUUGUGAGUAGUUCCAUUGCCUCCCUCGAGGUGACCCGGGAGGUUUGUGGGAACGUAAAAAGAUUUCUGAGAAGUCACCACACCAGGUGGCUUUCAGAUCUGGGACCACUAGGCUACUGGGGGUACUUGUU